GUGCACGCUUGGUAGCACGUAUACUAAAAUUGGAAAGCAUACGAGAGAAGAUUAGCAUGCCCCUGCACAAGAUACGUGCAAAUUGUGUUGCGUUCCUAUUCGCU
rnacentral:snRNA from 1 species